rnacentral:lncRNA from 1 species
AAAAUAGCUUAAAAUGUUUAAUCUGCAGUCUUCCACUAAAUUUUUGAAAAUGCAUGCUUUGAACUGCCGAUUUUUCCUUCAGCUGCAUAAGGUUCAAGGUGUGCAGCAAUCUAGAGCAUGAAGUUUUCUGAUCCUAAAGAGUCUAGAUUGUCAUAGACUCUUGUAGAGGGUUUUGUCAUAAGUCUCUUCAAAUCUACAUAGAUACAUGGUGGUCCUAACGCAUGGUUGAUGCUGCUGUAAGUCCCGCUUGCUCUACACCACCAAGCUUUGGGCUAAGGCUGCCCCC